AGUCGUCGUCGGCGUUGCAGUGUCCGCCGCGCGCGAGAGCAUAGAAACUGCCGCGCGCGGCGGCUACCAUUCCUUCAGGUGCAUUGAGGUGAUUUACGGCGCCGGAAUAAGAAAUGAUGCGAGACGUGCCUCGGGAGGAAUUCGCCCACUUUUUGCCACCGCCACCGCGUUUGUCUCGUGCCGCGCUUUGUUGACCUGGAAAGAGUGCUUUAUGCAAAUUUGAUUGCGGCUGCGGAAUGCCAUUUUCUGCAUCGUCGACGGCAAUUAUUGCGAUCGGCACGAAAUCUAGCUGAUGCAUUGCUGUUGUCGCUUUUGUAAAUUGUUUCUUUGCAAAUUGAAUUUCAUUAUUGUGAA